rnacentral:rRNA from 1 species
UCCUACGGGAGGCAGCAGUUAGGAAUAUUGGUCAAUGGGCGGAAGCCUGAACCAGCCAUGCCGCGUGCAGGAUGACGGCCCUAAGGGUUGUAAACUGCUUUUCCCCGGGAAGAAUAAACCCCUCGUGAGGGGUGAUGCCGGUACCGGGGGAAUAACCAUCGGCUAACUCCGUGCCAGCAGCCGCGGUAAUACGGAGGAUCCGAGCGUUAUCCGGAUUUACUGGGUUUAAAGGGUGCGUAGGCGGGCGCCUAAGUCAGCGGUGAAAGGCAGCGGCUCAACCGUUGAACUGCCGUUGAAACUGGGCGCCUUGGAUUCGGUCGGGGCCGGCGGAAUGCGUGGUGUAGCGGUGAAAUGCUUAGAUAUCACGCGGAACGCCGAUCGCGAAGGCAGCUGGCCAGGCCGAGAUCGACGCUGAGGCACGAAAGCAUGGGGAUCAAACAGGAUUAGAUACCCUGGUAGUCCACGCCGU